CCUACGGGUGGCAGCAGUCGAGAAUCAUUCACAAUGGGGGAAACCCUGAUGGUGCGACGCCGCGUGGGGGAAUGAAGGUCUUCGGAUUGUAAACCCCUGUCAUGUGGGAGCAAAUUAAAAAGAUAGUACCACAAGAGGAAGAGACGGUUAACUCUGUGCCAGCAGCCGCGGUACUACAGAGGUCUCAAGCGUUGUUCGGAAUCACGGGGCGUAAAGCGUGCGUAGGCUGUUUCGUAAGUCGGGUGUGAAAGGCGCGGGCUCAACCCGCGGACGGCACAUGAUACUGCGAGACUAGAGUAAUGGAGGGGGAACCGGAAUUCUCGGUGUAGCAGUGAAAUGCGUAGAUAUCGAGAGGAACACUCGUGGCGAAGGCGGGUUCCUGGACAUUAACUGACGCUGAGGCACGAAGGCCAGGGGAGCGAAAGGGAUUAGAUACCCGGGUAGUC
rnacentral:rRNA from 1 species